rnacentral:lncRNA from 1 species
ACUUCCGGCUGUGUCGGCGCGCGAAAAAAGGAACCAAAGAGAAGUGAAGGAAUGUGUCCAAGGGCUCCCAAGUUGGCGGUGGAAUUAGAAUUGAAGCCUCAGCUCCAAAGCCUGUGUUCUGAACUACCCGGUUGCAGUUCACAAAAUACACUUUGGCAGUACUUUCAUAACGAAAACAAAUGAUUACAACCAGUUUACAAAUGCUUUGCUUUACUGGAGGAUCGACAUGUUUGACUAAUUUUCAAAAAU